rnacentral:rRNA from 1 species
UACGUAGGGUGCAAGCGUUGUCCGGAAUUAUUGGGCGUAAAGAGCUCGUAGGCGGUCUGUCGCGUCGGCUGUGAAAUCCCGAGGCUCAACCUCGGGUCUGCAGUCGAUACGGGGCAAACUAGAGUAUUGCAGGGGAGACUGGAAUUCCUGGUGUAGCGGUGAAAUGCGUUGAUAUCAGGAGGAACACCCCAUGGGCGAAGGCAGCUAACUGGGCGAUUAUCUGACGCUGGAGGCGCGAAAGCGUGGGUAGCAAACAGG